CCUCAAGAAUAUUGAUGAGGAAGAGCCAGAUACACAUACAUAAAUGUGGCAGUUGAGGCUUGCAUUGCACAGGGGUUGCAAGAGACAGAGGGGCCUGCAACUGAUCACUUGUUACUUACCAGUGACUUCAUAUACCAUCAUGCUGCAGGCCGUAUUAUGCUAAAUCAAGGAUACGGGGAGAUAAUUAACAUAGCAACUCUGGCAAGUUUAAUAGAACCGCUGCAUUUAUUGAAGUCAUAAGCCCGUAGUCUAUCUUUAGACUCCUGAUGUAAUUUCUGAAUCACCAACCAUUUCUGAGACCACAAGAUAUUUAAAAAUAAGAUAAGAAAUAUUGACUGAGACUCCCUGAAGCCUGCAAGGGAAACGAAGAUAUCACGGCAGAGGUUUACAGUGGAAUUUCUCUCCUGUAGUUCGUGCACAUUGAAAAUGACAUGAUCUAUCCCAAGGAGUAACUUAAGAUCUGAUCCACUUAAACAGCUCCAAGUGAUUUAUCAUAAAUGUGCUUAUUUGGAAGGUUUAGCAGUAACCACUUAUGGGAGGUGGUGGGGUUAACUACCAAAAUUGUACAUAACUUGGAUCCUGUGUAUGGCAAUUAAUCAAGAAAUUAUAUUCUUUGACUUUCUAACAACCCACACAGAGUGCUACAUCUGUGGCAUGUUUAAAGAGAGAGAGGGAUGAAAUAUUUCUUCUAAUAAAAUGUUAAUGGUUUUGUUUUGGAGAAAAAAU
rnacentral:lncRNA from 13 species